rnacentral:tRNA from 1 species
GGGGCUGUAGCUCAGUGGUAGUUCACUCGCUUUGGAUGUGGGAGGCUGGGUUCAAUCUCCAGCACCA